rnacentral:rRNA from 1 species
CUACGGGGGGCUCCAGCAGGGAAUAUUGCACAAUGGACGGAAGUCUGAUGCAGCGACGCCGCGUGGAUGAUGAAGCCCCUCGGGUUGUAAAAUCCUUUUCAGGGGGACGAGGAAGGACGGUACCCUUGGAAUAAGCGUCGGCUAACUACGUGCCAGCAGCCGCGGUAAGACGUAGGACGCAAGCGUUAUCCGGAUUUACUGGGCGUAAAGCGUCUGUAGGCGGAAUGGUAAGUUGGACGUGAAAGCUCCGGGCUCAACCCGGAGAGGUCGUUCAAUACUGCCAAACUAGAGGGCAUCAGAGGAGCGUGGAAUUUCCGGUGUAGCGGUAAAAUGCGCAGAUAUCGGAAGGAACACCAAUGGCGAAGGCAGCGCUCUGGGAUGAACCUGACGCUAAGAGACGAAAGCUAGGGGAGCGAACAGGAUUAGAUACCCCGGUAGUC